AUAGCCACAUCUGCAGUAUAAACGCCGCUCAACAUACGGUAAUAGUGUUACAAAGGUUACUCGUUUUCUUGCCACAUCUAAUAGUGAUUAAUAAGUACUUAAUCAUUUCCCUAUCAACGUAAACUUGCAGUUGACGAAAGAGUGUCUCAAAUUUCACACCUGCUUUGGAAUAAGAUACGACCUUGGAUAUCGAUAAUACUAAGUAAUUUAAUAACGAACAUUAAUUAUUCAUUAAUUUUACAACAUCCACUCUCAGUACAUACUUUGGCAGUGUGCUAAUAGCUUUUAGCAGACAUUAGCGCAGCCACUAAGUUUUUUUCAGGUCAUUUCAGGGUUUACGUUACUUUAAUUCCAAUUUUCGUAAUGCCCAUUCGACCGAAAUUAAUUACUUAAUUACGCACUUGACACGUCUCGUCAAUGUCUGUCACGCCCAUACUGCAUGUAAACUGGAUUACUGCGAUGGGAUUCUGGCAACAUGGCUACUGCUGCUGAAGAAAGGCGAUGUUCCGCGUGCUUCUUCCGAGAUCCUCGGCCCCACAUCAUAACAUGCAAGCAGUUAAAGUAGGCAGCGAACACUACGCUACAAUAACGACACAUUUUUCCUCCAGCUGUGUUGUGUGGGUCUCAAAACUUUCUUGGAAUCUACGAUGUGUCGUGUCUGCGAGCCCGACCGGGAAUUCUGCUGCCCCUACCUGGGACUCUUCCCUGAUCCUUCCUGAAGAUCCCUGACCUGUUCCCCUACCACGACGCAGACGACACCCAGUUCCAACGAUAUUGCAUUGUACGUACGCCUUUGGCUUGGUUAGUGUCCAGACGACAGCGCCAUUCGUCGGACCUUUCACAACUCCACCUAAUGGUUUCCUUGCAAUCAAAAAUUACGCCAACCAUUCUGCGCAGGAUCCUCACUCAGAAACACUAGCAGCGUCCCACAGUGGAUGAUCCGUCUGGAAUAUCUCCGAACUUUAAUUUCACGUAUUCUACAACGGGAUCUACUGACGCUUCGACGCAGCCGGAAAACGUGAUGACAAAAUGCGCGGUGUUGGAACUUCAUCAAAUUGGAUCCCAUUACAAGAUCGACCGAUCGAUGAAUCAUCGACUUCCAUCGCAAAACCAACCAGGAAUACUGGAGGAAAAGAAAGCUGCAUGAUUCAGUGUUCAUUACGAUACAAUAUUUGACCCAAGCUGUUUUUACGAAGCGUAUCAAUAAAUGCUUCCUCAUUGCUAAGCAACCGUACGAAAUCCGGCCUGCUGCGGCUCUUGCCGUUGUGCAAAAUCAAUAAAAACGUUGUAG